rnacentral:rRNA from 1 species
AGCGUAGGCGGAAUUGCAAGUCAGAUGUGAAAACUAUGGGCUUAACCCAUAGACUGCAUUUGAAACUGUAGUUCUUGAGUGAAGUAGAGGUAAGCGGAAUUCCUAGUGUAGCGGUGAAAUGCGUAGAUAUUAGGAGGAACAUCGGUGGCGAAGGCGGCUUACUGGGCUUUUACUGACGCUGAGGCUCGAAAGCGUGGGAGCAAACA